rnacentral:rRNA from 1 species
UCCGGCCACAUCACGUUGAAACAACGUUCCCUUACGAUCACCGAAGUUAAGCAACGUCGAACCUGGUCAGUACCUAAAUGGGUGACCGCUUGGGAAUACCAGGUGCUGUAAG